UACAGAGGGUGCUAGCGUUGUUCGGAAUCAUUGGGCGUAAAGGGCGUGUAGGCGGUUUGUUAAGUCAUGUGUGAAAUCCCUCGGCUCAACCGGGGAACGACGCAUGAAACUGGCAAGCUAGAGUACCAAAGAGGGGGGGUGGAAUUCCCGGUGUAGCAGUGAAAUGCGUAGAGAUCGGGAGGAACACCAGUGGCGAAGGCGGCCUCUGGACCAAUACUGACGCUCAUGCACGAAAGCGUGGGGAGCAAACAGG
rnacentral:rRNA from 1 species